rnacentral:rRNA from 1 species
CGCCUGUUUAUUAAAAACAUAGUUUUGUGAUUUUUAUAUAAAAUAAAGUCUGCCUAUUGAUGAUUUGAUUAAAAGGCCGCAGUAUUUUGACUGUGCUAAGGUAGCAUAAUAAUUAGAUUUUUAAUUGAAAUAUUGAAUGAAUGGCUAAAUGAGAUAAAUUCUUUUUUUUAUUUAAAAUUUAAUUUUAUUUUUUAGUUAAAAAGCUAAAACUUUAAAAUCGGACGAGAAGACCCUAUAGAAUUUUAUAUUUUGUUAUAUUUUUUUUUAAUUAUUAAUUUAAAUAAAAUAUUAUAUAAAUUAUUAUAUUGGGGUGAUAAUUAAAUUUAAUUAACUUUUUUGUUUUAUUUCAUUUAUAAACGUAAAAUUGAUUGAUCUUAUUAUAUAGAUUAUAAAAAUAAAUUACCUUAGGGAUAACAGCAUAACAAUUUUAAGAAGUUCUUAUUUUUAAACAUUAUUUU